AUACGGAAGGUCCGGGCGUUAUCCGGAUUUAUUGGGUUUAAAGGGAGCGCAGGCUGAUGAUUAAGCGUGACGUGAAAUGUAGCCGCUCAACGGCUGAACUGCGUCGCGAACUGGUUAUCUUGAGUGAGUUCGAUGUUGGCGGAAUUCGUGGUGUAGCGGUGAAAUGCUUAGAUAUCACGAAGAACUCCGAUUGCGAAGGCAGCCAACAAGGCCUUUACUGACGCUAAAGCUCGAAGGUGCGGGUAUCGAACAGGAUUAGAUUCCCUGGUAGUCCGCACGGUAAACGAUGGAUGCCCGCUGUUUGCGAUAUACUGUGAGCGGCCAAGAGAAAUCGUUAAGCAUCCCACCUGGGGAGUACGCCGGCAACGGUGAAACUCAAAUGAAUUGACGGGG
rnacentral:rRNA from 1 species